ACUACAUGAAGCUGGAAUCGCUAGUAAUCGCAGAUCAGAAUGCUGCGGUGAAUACGUUCCCGGGUCUUGUACACACCGCCCGUCACACCAUGGGAGCCGGGAAUGCCCGAAGUCGGUGACCCAACCGUAAGGAGGGAGCCGCCGAAGGCAGGCCUGGUAACUGGGGUGAAGUCGUAACAAGGUAAC
rnacentral:rRNA from 1 species